GAUGAAGAACGCAGCGAAAUGCGAUAAGUAGUGUGAAUUGCAGAAUUCAGUGAAUCAUCGAAUCUUUGAACGCACAUUGCGCCCCUUGGUAUCCCGAGGGGCAUGCCUGUUCGAGCGUCAUUUCACCACUCAAGCCUGGCUUGGUGUUGGGCGACGUCCCCUUUGGGGACGCGCCUCGAAACGCUCGGCGGCGUGGCACCGGCUUUAAGCGUAGCAGAAUCUUUCGCUUUGGAAGUCGGGGCCCCGUCUGCCGGAAGACCUACUCGCAAGGUUGACCUCGGAUCAGGCAGGGAUACUCGCUGAACUUAAGCAUAUCAAUAAGCGGAGGA
rnacentral:misc_RNA from 1 species